GACGAACGCUGGCGGCGUGCUUAACACAUGCAAGUCGAACGGUAAGGCUCCAGCUUGCUGGGGUACACGAGUGGCGAACGGGUGAGUAACACGUGGGUGACCUGCCCUGCACUUCGGGAUAAGCCUGGGAAACUGGGUCUAAUACCGGAUAGGACCGCACCGUGAGGGUGUGGUGGAAAGUUUUUUCGGUGUGGGAUGGGCCCGCGGCCUAUCAGCUUGUUGGUGGGGUAAUGGCCUACCAAGGCGGCGACGGGUAGCCGGCCUGAGAGGGUGGACGGCCACAUUGGGACUGAGACACGGCCCAGACUCCUACGGGAGGCAGCAGUGGGGAAUAUUGCACAAUGGGCGGAAGCCUGAUGCAGCGACGCCGCGUGGGGGAUGACGGCCUUCGGGUUGUAAACUCCUUUCACCAUCGACGAAGGGUUUCUGACGGUAGAUGGAGAAGAAGCACCGGCUAACUACGUGCCAGCAGCCGCGGUAAUACGUAGGGUGCGAGCGUUGUCCGGAAUUACUGGGCGUAAAGAGCUCGUAGGUGGUUUGUCGCGUCGUCUGUGAAAUUCCGGGGCUUAACUCCGGGCGUGCAGGCGAUACGGGCAUAACUUGAGUACUGUAGGGGAGACUGGAAUUCCUGGUGCAGCGGUGAAAUGCGCAGAUAUCAGGAGGAACACCGGUGGCGAAGGCGGGUCUCUGGGCAGUAACUGACGCUGAGGAGCGAAAGCAUGGGGAGCGAACAGGAUUAGAUACCCUGGUAGUCCAUGCCGUAAACGGUGGGCGCUAGGUGUGGGUUUCCUUCCACGGGAUCCGUGCCGUAGCUAACGCAUUAAGCGCCCCGCCUGGGGAGUACGGCCGCAAGGCUAAAACUCAAAGGAAUUGACGGGGGCCCGCACAAGCGGCGGAGCAUGUGGAUUAAUUCGAUGCAACGCGAAGAACCUUACCUGGGCUUGACAUAUACAGGAUCGCGCCAGAGAUGGUGUUUCCCUUGUGGCUUGUAUACAGGUGGUGCAUGGUUGUCGUCAGCUCGUGUCGUGAGAUGUUGGGUUAAGUCCCGCAACGAGCGCAACCCUUGUCUUAUGUUGCCAGCACGUUGUGGUGGGGACUCGUAAGAAACUGCCGGGGUUAACUCGGAGGAAGGUGGGGAUGACGUCAAAUCAUCAUGCCCCUUAUGUCCAGGGCUUCACACAUGCUACAAUGGUCGGUACAGUGGGUUGCCAGUCCGUGAGGGCGAGCUAAUCCCGCAAAGCCGGUCUCAGUUCGGAUCGGGGUCUGCAACUCGACCCCGUGAAGUCGGAGUCGCUAGUAAUCGCAGAUCAGCAACGCUGCGGUGAAUACGUUCCCGGGCCU
rnacentral:rRNA from 1 species